AAUAUUCUUCUCCCCAAGGAAAAAUCCCAGUAGCUAACAGCGCCCACACCACAGAGAACAGCAGGGAAGGGGAAUUUUUAAAAGAACCUCUCUCUAUUUUCCAGUGGAGGAAGAGGUUUUCUAUUGGUCCCUGGGAGCAGAGGGUAGCAGGGAGUCAUCUACAGGUUAGUCUACACCAGAGAAAGUUAGCAUUCACAUUAUACCAGCACAACAUAUUCCCAUACUGGAAGAGGAAUAACCUAUACGAAAGCCAGGUCUAUACUUCAGAACUAUAUCAGAAUAACUAUGUCAAUCAAGGGUGUGAAAAAUCCACGCCCCUGAGCGACGUAUUUAUACCGACUCUCCCCCCCCACCCCAUGUAGACAGCGCUAUGUCGUUGGGAGCGCGUCUCUGGUCGACAUACCUGCUGCCUCUCGCGGAGAUGGAUUAACUACGCCGACAGGAGCGUCGUCACUAAAGUGCUACAGCCGAGCAGCUGCAUUGGUAGCACUGUACAUGAAGACUAGCCCUCAUAUAAGGCACCUUUCUGUUGGUACAACAAUAUCCACGCUAGGGGUUGUCUUGCUGUAGCAAGCCCAGUAAAACAAAUCGCACCACUAAGCAACGUAGACAGGUCAGUACAAAACCCACACAGAGCAGGCUUUCAUUCUCAAUGGUCAAAAAAAUAGAAACUUUUGGGGUUUUCAGUUUUUAAACAACAUCUCUCCCCCCUCAGGCCCCCCUUCCCACGAAAAUCAAUGGAAUCAGAAUUUUUCUAUUUCAUCAAAAAUAUAUUUUGUUUUCUUUGGGAGGCGGGUGUGUGUAUGUGUGUGUGUGUGGGAGGGAAUCACUGACAAAUGUCUGUGCCGUUCUAGGAUGUGUCUACACUGGAGUUGGAGGUGUAAUUUCCAGCUCAUAUAGGCAGAGGCGAUGCGGUGGGGGGCAUGCAGGGUCAGGAGCCCGCCCCCGAUUUACUUGCCUUGUACUGAGCAUGUUCACACAGACUAAGCCUACUCGGUAACACCGCUGAAGCCGGCUGCCCUCACUCUAUCCCCUGGGGUUGUCUCUGCAUAGAGGAGUACCCACGCUGGCGCUGACUGAGCUAGCGUACUAAAAACAGACGUGUGGGCAGCAGGACGGGCUCUCCGUCUCAAGUACAACCCCACCUGAAACCCUGGUAGGAGUGGUGACUUCUGAGAAUCCAGCCGAAACUCCCCAACAGGAGGCCGCUUGCACUAGCCUUGUGACUUGCUUAUAAGGUCCAGUGUUCACGGUUGGAGAGAGAACAUUUGCUGCGCCUGCAUUAGCCAGUGGUUGGAAGAAUCACCUAGAAACAUCUCUCCUCUGUGCCGAGAAACUCAGGGGAGUGUUGUAGAACUGGGCAGACUAUUCAUUCUGCAGUUGGCCAAAGAUCCAGAAGCAAACACCAGGAGGAAUUUGCUUUGUUGUCUGAAGAGGGGCCAGAAACUCACCUCUGUGUUCUGCACGGCACACCAAGAAACCAUGUUACAGCUUUCACAGAGACAGCCGCUGAGCAGUGCGAGAGCUAGAACGAUGGAAUGGUAAUUGCUAGGAUCACUCUUUCACUGAUAAAAAGAAAACCAGCUCCCAAUGUCUCCCUAGCAGUCCAGAAUUUAAAAACACUCUGCAUUAUGCAGACGCCCGAGACAUAUUGAACCGCCGUGAGGAGGGGAAGGUGCGGGCUGCAAUGGCUCUUUCUCCAAGGCAAAGGACGCCGGAGUUCUCCCUCAACCCCCAAACUCUGAAGCAAUUCAAAGUGAACGUGACUCUGGAUCCAGACACGGCAGGUCCUGAACUCAUCCUCUCUGAGGAUCUGAAAGGUGCCAGAUGGGGAAAACCAAGUCAGAAGACGCCUGACCGUCCGGAGAGAUUUGACACUGAUCCCUGUGUGUUGGGCUGUGAGGGAUUCACCUCGGGGAGACACUACUGGGAGGUGGAGGUGGAUGGGAUGUUCUGGACUGUGGGUGUGGCCAGAGAGUCUGUGAGGAGGAAGGGACAUAUUGUCUUUCGACCCAACACGGGAGUCUUGGGUUUGCAGAAAUAUGAUCACCUCUGCGUGGCGCUCACCAGCCCUUCCAACACCUAUGUGCCCCUCAAAAAUAACAACAAUGAGAUUGGCGUCUAUCUGGACUAUGAACUGGGGCAAGUGUCAUUUUAUGACCUCAGCAACGAGGAGCUGCUCUUUGCUUUCCAGCCGGUCUCUUUCAAUGGGGAGAGAGUUUUCCCUUACUUUUGUGUAUUUUUGUCCCACAUAAAACUGUCCCCCAGAGGGUGAUGCAUGGCUGUGAUUCCCAGAAACUGGAUUCUCUGGCCUGUGGUGUCAUAGUCUCUAUGAUCCUAGAGGUUCUUGCUGAACCUCUCGUAGUGUCCAUUGCUCUAUGCUCUAUGACCCUGGAGGUUACAAUGUUCUUGCUGAACUUCUUCUAGCUUCCAUUUCCCUAAGCUCUAUGAGCCUGGAAGACAACGUCUUUUCUGUAGAGCUGCUCUGAGCUACCUUAUUAGUCUCCAUGCCUCAGGAGGACUCCCAUGUUUCCUCACAGAAAAUCCUAGGCUCUCAAUCCUGGUCUCUAUGGCUCCACAAGGAGUACAAUGUUGUUGCAAAGUCCCAUUUAGUUGCUAUUUUCUAGUCUCUAUGCUCCUGUCAGAGUCCCAUGUUCCUUCAGACCCCCUGCUAGCUCUCUGUCUGCAAACUGGACCACCCUGAAGUACAGAACGUGACACUUUUUGAUGGCAGAAAUUAAGGAAAGAAAAUCUUGAGUGGGUGUCUCGAUUCAGCCUGUAUUACCGUUGUGACAGAUAUUGCAAACACACACAGCCUCUUUGGGAGCGGUUGUUUCCACCUGAUAAAUGCAACAGAGGGUCCUGUGGCACCUUUGAGACUAACAGAAGUAUUGGGAGCAUAAGCUUUCGUGGGUAAGAA